rnacentral:rRNA from 1 species
ACGACGCUGGCGGCGUGCUUCAUACAUGCAAGUCGAACGAGAAGUUACCGUUCGGGUAAUAGACAGGUGGCGGACGGGUGAGUAAAUGUAGAGAAUCUGCCCUAGAGGUGGGGGACAACAGUUGGAAACGACUGCUAAUACCGCAUAUGCGCGUAGCUGAGAUGCUAUUCGUGAAAACUCCGGUGCUCGUGGAUGAGUCUGCAUCUGAUUAGCUAGUGGGGGUGUAAUGGACCACCAAGGCGACGAUCAGUAGCUGGUUUGAGAGGAUGAUCAGCCACAAUGGGACUGAGACACGGCCCAUACUCCUACGGGAGGCAGCAGUAGGGAAUUUUGCGCAAUGGGGGAAACCCUGACGCCAGCAACGCCGCGUGAUUGAAUAAGCCCUUCGGGGUGUAAAGAUCUGUCAGUGGGGACGAAACUUGACGGUACCCACAGAGGAAGCAUCGGCUAACUCCGUGCCAGCCGCCGC